CUUGCAAAUUCAACAGCAGUCAAGUGAUCGUGGGCGCGCGUACACUCGGGGCUUUUCCAGCACUUGUUAUGACAAACGGAGCUGGCUGGCAGGUUGUGAUGUAAGUCAUGCCUUUUACUGUUUCCCGUGUUUGCUGUUUGCCGUGAAGGACAUCGAUUCAGUACACAUCAGGGGGAGCAUCCAGCAAUUCCAGCAGGACAUACAGAAGAUCAGAAAUUCUCUCCAUUCCCUGGUUGACCAAUGCAGUGAAGGUGGUUUUCAACAGAAGAGGCGGCGGUCCCUCAGUCCAGAGGUUCAUGAACAGAUAGCAGCAGAAGUCUGUGAUACCAUACUCACACACACACUGGAGCGGUUCUCCUUCACAGACCACCUCGUUAGUGCCACAUUGCUGCAGGCAGACAGGUUUGAGCAGUAUACAGUAGCUUUUCCAGAAGAUGCACUUAGCAGGACUCUGAAAGCCUAUCCUGUGCUCGAUGGAAGUAAGCUAAAGACAGAGCUCAGUCUCAUCUACUCCAAGGAUGAGUUCAGAGCCUGUUGUGGUGCUUUGGACCUACUCCAGCUGUUUAUGGAGAACAAUCUUGAGGAAGUCUUUUCAGAGACUGUAACUCUCCUAAAGAUUCUGGUAACUACGCCUAUGACCACAGCAGAAGCUGAGAGGUGCUUCUCAACUUUGAAAAGAAUAAAAACUUUUCUGAGAAACAGCAUGACCCUAGAGAGGCUGAAUGCAUUGGCCAUGCUGUCAAUAGAGAAGAGACUAGUGACUGAGAUGACUGACUUCAACCAAAAGGUCAUUGAGAAAUUUGCAAGCCAGAAAGAAAGGAGAGCAAAAUUUAUUUUCAAGUAGUGCUACUGGCCAGUGAUUAGGCAACAUCUAUGUGUGUCUGUGCGUGUGUUUAUCGAUUAC
ensembl:processed_transcript